rnacentral:rRNA from 1 species
AUUGAACGCUGGCGGCAGGCCUAACACAUGCAAGUCGAACGAGUGGCGGACGGGUGAGUAAUGUCUGGGAAACUGCCUGAUGGAGGGGGAUAACUCCUGUAAACGGUAUCUAAUAUCGCAUACCAUCAGAUGUGCCCAGAUGGGAUUAGCUAGUAGUGGGGGUAACGGCUCACCUAGGCGACGAUCCCUAGCUGGUCUGAGAGGAUGACCAGCCAAACUGGAACUGAGACACGGUCCAGACUCCUACGGGAGGCAGCAGUGGGGAAUAUUGCACAAUGGGCGCAAGCCUGAUGCAGCCAUGCCGCGUGUAUGAAGAAGGCCUUCGGGUUGUAAAGUACUUUCAGCGGGGAGGCGUUACCCGCAGAAGAAGCACCGGCUAACUCCGUGCCAGCAGCCGCGGUAAUAC